UACGAAGGGUGCAAGCGUUACUCGGAAUUACUGGGCGUAAAGCGUGCGUAGGUGGUGGUUUAAGUCAGAUGUGAAAGCCCUGGGCUCAACCUGGGAACUGCAUUUGAUACUGGAUCACUAGAGUGCGGUAGAGGAUAGUGGAAUUCCCGGUGUAGUGGUGAAAUGCGUAGAUAUCGGGAGGAACACCAGUGGCGCAAGCGGCUGCCUGGGCAUGACCUGACACUGAGCCACGACGGCGUGGGGAGCAAACGGG
rnacentral:rRNA from 1 species